AUUGAACGCUGGCGGCAGGCCUAACACAUGCAAGUCGAACGAGUGGCGGACGGGUGAGUAAUGCUUGGGAAUCUACCUUAUGGAGGGGGAUAACUACGGGAAACUGUAGCUAAUACCGCGUACCAUAGGAUGAGCCCAAGUGGGAUUAGGUAGUUGGUGGGGUAAAGGCUCACCAAGGCGACGAUCUCUAGCUGGUCUGAGAGGAUGACCAGCCACACUGGGACGGAGACACGGCCCAGACUCCUACGGGAGGCAGCAGUGGGGAAUAUUGCACAAUGGGCGCAAGCCUGAUGCAGCCAUGCCGCGUGUAUGAAGAAGGCCUUCGGGUUGUAAAGUACUUUCAGUGGGGAGGCGUUACCCACAGAAGAAGCACCGGCUAACUCCGUGCCAGCAGCCGCGGUAAUUC
rnacentral:rRNA from 1 species